GACGAACGCUGGCGGCGUGCUUAACACAUGCAAGUCGAACGGAAAGGUCCUGCUCUUGUGGGUUUCUCGAUUGCCGAACGGGUGAGUAUCACGUGAGUAACCUCCCCUUGUCUGUGUGGUAACACCAGGAAACUGGGGCUAAUACCCCGUAGGAUCUCCUGCUGCAUGGUGGUGGUUGGUAAGUUUCGGCGGUUGUGGAUGGACUGGCGGCUUAUGAGCUUGUUGGUGGGGUAGUGGCUGACCAAGGCUUUGACGGGUAGCCGGCCUGAGAGGGUGACCGGCCACAUUGGGCCUGAGAGACGGACCAGAAGGCUACGGGAGGCAGCAGUGGGGAGUAUUGCAGAGUGGGCGGAAGUCUGAGGUAGAAGCGCCGCGUGCGGGAUGCCGGGCUUCGGGUUGUAAACAGAUUUCGAAUGUAACGAAGCGGGAGUGACGGUAAUGGGUAAAGAAGCAACGGCUAACUACGUG
rnacentral:rRNA from 1 species